rnacentral:rRNA from 1 species
GGCUUAGAGUUUGAUCAUGGCUCAGGAUAAACGCUGGCGGCGCACAUAAGACAUGCAAGUCGAACGAACUUAACCUAUAGUUUACUAUUGGAACGGUUAGUGGCGGACUGGUGAGUAACGCGUAAGCAAUCUGCCUAUCAGAGGGGAAUAACAGUGAGAAAUCACUGCUAAUACCGCAUAAGCUGUGAGUAUCGCAUGAUACAAGCAGAAAAGGAGCAAUCCGCUGAUAGAUGAGCUUGCGUCUGAUUAGUUAGUUGGUAAGGUAACGGCUUACCAAGACGAUGAUCAGUAGCCGGACUGAGAGGUUGAACGGCCACAUUGGGACUGAGAUACGGCCCAGACUCCUACGGGAGGCAGCAGUCGGGAAUAUUGCGCAAUGGAGGAAACUCUGACGCAGUGACGCCGCGUGCAGGAAGAAGGUUUUCGGAUUGUAAACUGCUUUUGACAGGGAAGAAGAAGUGACAGUACCUGUAGAAUAAGCUCCGGCUAACUACGUGCCAGCAGCCGCGGUAAUACGUAGGGAGCGAGCGUUAUCCGGAUUUAUUGGGUGUAAAGGGUGCGUAGAUGGAUAUGAAAGUUGGUUGUGAAAUACCUCGGCUUAACUGAGGAACUGCAACCAAAACUGCAAAUCUUGAGUACUGGAGGGGAAAGCGGAAUUCCUAGUGUAGCGGUGAAAUGCGUAGAUAUUAGGAAGAACACCGGUGGCGAAAGCGGCUUUCUGGACAGAAACUGACAUUGAGGCACGAAAGUGUGGGGAGCAAACAGGAUUAGAUACCCUGGUAGUCCACACCGUAAACGAUGGAUACUAGGUGUAGUGAUGAUAAGUCAUCUGUGCCGUCGCAAACGCAGUAAGUAUCUCACCUGGGA